UGUUUCUCCAUUUCAGAGUUCGCCCCAUAUGGAAUUCGGGUUAACUCAGUGAACCCUACAGUAAUCGACACCCCGAUGGCAAUCCAACAUUUGAAGAGGAACGAAAACAAAGAAGAGGCACUAUCGAUGAUGGGUGCUUGGCAGGCUCUCGGACGCGUAGGCACCGUAGAGGAAGUGGCCAACGCCAUCGUCUUCCUGGCUUCGGACGACGCAUCUUUCAUCACUGGCCACUUGCUGCCGGUCGACGGCGGUUCUCUCCUCCUUGAAAACAAGAAACCGCUGUGUUUGCGUAAGGCAAAGGCCGCGUCCACGCUUCCUGCUGACAGUGCUGGAACACCUGAAUAAGACAGUGAUACGAGUGGGCUUCAGUGAUAUGAGGCGGCCAGAAAAUUGUGAUGACAAAAUAUUCCUUCUCCAUAUAUGCCAAAUAAUAAUAAAA